rnacentral:rRNA from 1 species
GUCCACGCCGUAAACGUUGGGCACUAGGUGUGGGUUCCAACCAACGGGAUCCGUGCCGCAGCUAACGCAUUAAGUGCCCCGCCUGGGGUGUACGGCCGCAAGGCUAAAACUCAAAGGAAUUGACGGGGCCCGCACAAGCGGCGGAGCAUGUUGCUUAAUUCGAGGCAACGCGAAGAACCUUACCUGGGUUUGACAUUCUGGGAAAAGCCGUAGAGAUACGGUGUCCGAAAGGGUCCAGAACAGGUGGUGCAUGGCUGUCGU